CUCUUGAAGAUUGUGGGAAAGAUUUUCUGUUUUAAUUAGUUCGUUACAGUGUUUUAAUUUAAUGUUCUGGGUGCAUUUCACAGUUUAAAUCACAAAAUGCGGACGUCGAUACAGAAUGGUUGAACUAUUCCAUGUCAAGUGCGGGAAUUACGAAAAACGAAUGUGAAAAUAAACCAGUUUUGCGGGUUUGCAACAAACGACCUCAUUUUUUUCAAUUAAAUGCUAUUUUAUCUGUAAUGUUAUUCACGUGGCUUACUUUCAUGACGUAUCGUUUAUAUGGCAACACAAACUCAGCUGAUUUUUUACAAACAAUACGUUUAUGACGUAAUAAUGUAUACACAAUUCUUGUUUGGUUUUUCCAUAUCAGCUGAAAUUCCAAAUCCGGAUCGGAGGAAAUAGUUUGCUAGGCUUCUUUUAAAAAAAUCGGCAGGAUGGCCAACGCUGAGGUCAACAACAAACAGUCGACGGUGAUUGCUGCGAAGCUCCGUGGCCCUGGAUCUGGUCGGUACAAGCUACCUUCCACGUGCGGAUUCAAGGGUCAUGAUUUCACUCAGCAUAUGAAGCCUGCCUAUUCUUUUGGAAAGAGGCUCGGGAAUUCUUUUAUCAGCAGUAAUAAGUGUAGCCCUGGGCCUGUAUAUUAUAUCGAACCACGCUACACCAGACACGGUAAAGAUGGAACGCCACAUUACUCGAUUCUUGGUCGGCCGCUAAACCCAAACACCUUCAAGACCCCGGGACCCGGAAAAUACCAGAACGAAAAGGUGCACCCACAAGGAGAAAUACACGCGCCGAAAUAUUCAAUGGGAUCACGCACUCGCUACCGUCAAUGCGACUCCUACCCCUCACCUAACAACUACGGCCUACCAAGUUUACUCGGAAGCAAAGUCAUCAAUAAAGUGUCCAGCGCAAGUUACUCUAUGACGGGACGGUCUCUUACUGGUAGUUUUGACGAAGACCUCGCCAAGACCCCUGGCUCGGCUCGAUACAGCAUCGUAGAUCCGAACAUUUAUAGAAAGCGUGCGCCCUGCUACUCUAUGCUGGCAAGGCGAUACAUGCCAGGCGACAAAACAACGAAACCGGGCCCUGGUGCCCACCAUCCGGAGAUGGUGGUCAUUAAUCGACCCAGAGCACCACAAUAUUCAACCGGAAUCCGACACUCAGAGUACAUAACGCCUUUUGUUAACGAAAGCACCGAUUUCUAAUUCGUUUGUGCCAGCUGUUUGUCGCAAAUUAAUAAAUAAAAUAGCUGCCUGUCUGAUCUAAA